rnacentral:pre_miRNA from 1 species
AAUGCUUUGCUAGAGCUGGUAAAAUGGAACCAAAUCAACUGUUCGAUGGAUUUGGUCCCCUUCAACCAGCUGUAGCUGUGCAUUGAU